CGACAGACAUUCGUUCUGUUCAUAUUUAGGGACCGUCAACAAAUGGCAGAAUGUUUUUUUUUUUUCAAUAGCUCUUAAAGUAUUACACCAAAUCAAACAAAAACCCUUAAAAAAAUAAUAAAACAGAUUAAGAACUAUCAAUACUACCAGAUUACAUUAGCUUUUGAUGCUUUUUCUAAUUUUAGUCUAUUUUUUGUGUACAUUUUCAGGUUUUUCUUCGGUAACUUUUAUGUUAUUUGACCAAAUCAGUCCAAAUCACUUUAGAAAAGUAGAAUUGACUAAGAACUAUCUAUUACAGCAGUUUACAUUGGCUUUUGAUGCUUUUUCUAAAAUCAUUUUUUGUGUACAUUUUUCAGGUUUUUCUUCAAUAGCUUUUAGGAUUUUAGACCAAAUCCGUCCAAAUCCCUUUAGAAUAAUAGAAUUUACUGAGAACUAUCUAUUACAGCAGUUUACAUGAGCUUUUGAUGCUUUUUCUAAUUUUAGUAAAUUUUUUAGUGUAAAUUUUCACAUUUUUCUUUUUCCCCAAGAUAAAAAUGCGAAAAGAUUUUAAAUUGUAUUUGUCGUCCUACAAAGCAAACUUCAAAGAUAACUUGCUAAUGCUAAUGCUUUUAGUGCAUGUUUACGUGCAAAAAUCCCUAAAACUGAAGGACAUUCAGAGCUUCUCUUUGUUUGUAUUUUGUGUGCCAGACACACUUUCUGUUUGUGAAGACAGGCUUAGAUGGAGGAAGCCGAUCCGCUGUGUCGACCCCUGAAGGGAAAAGCCGAAAGGAAAAGAAGAAGAAGACACAUUUUCUGUUUGCAUCUGCAGUCUGAGCUGAAGACACACCGUUGCAGCUCACAUCACACUUCUAAAAGGCCAAUUAGAGUCCGACCCUGCAUCUGCAGCAGGGUUUGAGCAUCCACACAGGGGGACGUCCUAAGGGGCGUAGCUGGCCACUUGAGAGAACAAAGAGGAGAAACUCAUUCAUUCAUUCAUUAUCCUGACCGCUUUGUCACCUUCGGGGUCGUGGGGAAACUCAUUCUCUAUUAUCUAAAUUGUUGAAUGUGGAACUUAUUAUUAAACAUUGUUAUUCUUUUAA